ACUGGGGAUAAUACCGGAUAAAUCAUAGAUGCUGGAAUGCUCUGUGAUUAAAAGCUCCGGCGCCUUAGGAUGGAUCUGCGGCCUAUCAGGUAGUAGUGGGUGUAAUGUACCUACUAGCCUACGACGGGUACGGGUUGUGAGAGCAAGAGCUCGGAGAUGGAUUCUGAGACAUGAAUCCAGGCCCUACGGGGCGCAGCAGGCGCGAAAACUUUACAAUGCGGGAAACCGCGAUAAGGGGACACUGAGUGCCAGCACCAUGUGUUGGCUGUCCGCAUGUAUAAAUAACAUGUGUUAGCAAGGGCCGGGCAAGACCGGUGCCAGCCGCCGCGGUAACACCGGCGGCCCGAGUGGUGGCCAUUAUUAUUGGGUCUAAAGGGUCCGUAGCCGGUUUGAUCAGUCUUCCGGGAAAUCUGACAGCUCAACUGUUAGGCUUCUGGGGGAUACUGUCAGACUUGGAACCGGGAGAGGUAAGAGGUACUACAGGGGUAGGAGUGAAAUCUUGUAAUCCUUGUGGGACCACCAGUGGCGAAGGCGUCUUACCAGAACGGGUUCGACGGUGAGGGACGAAAGCUGGGGGCACGAACCGGAUUAGAUACCCGGGUAGUCCCAGCCGUAAACGAUGCUCGCUAGGUGUCUGGAACGGUGCGACCGUUUCAGGUGCCGCAGGGAAGCCGUGAAGCGAGCCACCUGGGAAGUACGGCCGCAAGGCUGAAACUUAAAGGAAUUGGCGGGGGAGCACUACAACGGGUGGAGCCUGCGGU
rnacentral:rRNA from 1 species